UCUCGUAGCUUGCUAUGAGAACGGUUAGUGGCAGACGGGUGAGUAAUGCAUAGGAAUCUACCUAGUAGUAUGGGAUAGCCACUAGAAAUGGUGGGUAAUACUGUAUAAUCCCUGCGGGGGAAAGAUUUAUCGCUAUUAGAUGAGCCUAUGUUAGAUUAGCUAGUUGGUAGGGUAAAGGCCUACCAAGGCAGUGAUCUAUAGCUGGUCUGAGAGGAUGAUCAGCCACACUGGAACUGAGAUACGGUCCAGACUCCUACGGGAGGCAGCAGUGGGGAAUAUUGGACAAUGGGCGCAAGCCUGAUCCAGCUAUGCCGCGUGAGUGAGGAAGGCCUUAGGGUUGUAAAACUCUUUCAGUGGGGAAGAUAAUGACGGUACCCACAGAAGAAGUCCCGGCAAACUCCGUGCCAGCAGCCGCGGUAAUACGGAGGGGGCAAGCGUUGUUCGGAAUUAUUGGGCGUAAAGGGCAUGUAGGCGGUUCGGUAAGUUAAAGGUGAAAUGCCAGGGCUUAACCCUGGAGCUGCUUUUAAUACUGCCAGACUGGAGUCCGGGAG
rnacentral:rRNA from 1 species